UACGGAGGGUGCAAGCGUUGCUCGGAAUUAUUGGGCGUAAAGGGCAGGUAGGUGGUCUUACUUGUCUGGGGUGAAAUCCUUGAGCUUAACUCAAGAAGUGCCCCGGAGACGGUGAGACUAGAGUUUUGGAGAGGGUCGUGGAAUUCCCGGUGUAGCGGUGAAAUGCGUAGAGAUCGGGAGGAACACCAGAGGCGAAAGCGGCGACCUGGACAAUGACUGACACUCAACUGCGAAAGCGUGGGGAGCAAACAGG
rnacentral:rRNA from 1 species